CCUGCCCUCCAGCAGCGGGGCCCGGGGGCCUGACGGGCCGGCGGAGGAGGGCAGCUUCUCUCCAGGCACCUGGGCGGGCGGCCUCCCUAAGCCUCCCCUUCGGCAGGCCCCGGGGGAGCAGACAGUUCCGAGGAAAGCACCCGCUCUUAAUGGCGGCGGAGGCGGGGGAUAUGUGAUCAAAAUAAUUUGGAGACUACUGCACUAAAAAGUUGGAAGAUUCUGUUCUCAGAAAAUUGAAAAGAAGAAUUUAUAAGCAGAGAUUUGAAACCAUUCAAGACGAUGAUUGAAACCAGUCAGGUGGUUCCUGCGUGCCCCCGUUGUUGUCCCGCGGGUCGGGACAAAAUGGCGUCCAACGUGGGGUACUCCUGAGAAUCUCUAGCGAGAACGUCUACCGGAGAAGUCCUGGCCAGGCACCCCCAGAGUCGCCGCGAGGACCCGCGAGUGAAGACUCAGCACUAGAUCGCCACGGUCCGCCCGCCGUGAGACAGAUCGGAGUAAAGGUAGGUAGACGAUUUUUCAAACAAGAUUUCAGAACAUUUCACCCCUUUUUUUGCUCCAUUGUUAUUAUUGGUUCUCUUGGUUGGUUUCUUCCUGCCCACUAAUAAGCGCUCACUUGCCGAUCUGGGGAAGAGUGAAAGGUACCCAUUUCCGGCUGUGAGAACUCCGAUUCACUUGAACUAGUACCGUCUCCCGGUUUUCUUGGCGAGAAUCCUCUCCAAUUAGAUCUACUCUUAAAACCUUGAGCUUGCUUUGAACAAAAAGUCGUUCACCUCACAGACUCAACCAUGGGAGACCUGCGCGCCUGAGGAGGGCAAAUGGGGUCUCCCUGUCUGUGAGGAUCCGUGUAGGCGGAUUAUACCUACCGACCGUUUCACGCAAGCAAGGGAGUAAAGGGUAGAGUCGAAAAGAGAGUAAUUCCGCCUGAAUUCCUGGGUUAACGAGAAAAUUCAAGCUGACCUGGCACGGGGUUUAUACGUCCCGGAGGCUUACGUGGAGAAGGAACCUCUUAGAGAGCCAUCCAAUCGACCGAUAAUGGGGAAUUUGAGUUGUCAUGAAAUGUUCCUUGACGGUGUCAAGAUUUCCCUCAGAAAGCGAGGAGUAAGGGUUAAAAAAAAAGAAUCUUAGAAAAAGGGCUCAGGGAGUCCCCUCAGGCAAGAGGAAUUAAGGCUAGAAAAAAAGGAUCUUAGAAAUGAAAGUGCUCUUUAGAGUGAAUGUUGAUGUCUAUGUGAUCACAA